CGGGUUGUAAAAAUUUAAACGUCACAAUAUUACAAUGGUAAGUAAUGUUAUAUAUAAAUAGCAACUGAAAGUAAAAGUGAAAGUCCAUUGUAAGGCAGCAACCAUUUGAUUUUCUAGGGGGGUAUGGAUUUUUUUUCUGGACAAACUUUUUUUUUCGCCUCCGGCAAAAACAAUCUAUUUUUUGGCGAGAAGUUGAAACAAUUUUUUACUUUUCAAUUUUAGCAUUACAUAUAGUGGCAGCUGAGGGUGAAACAAACAAUUUUUUUUCCUCAGGAUCAGAAACAAAUUAUUUUUUUCUCCCAAAACUGGAAACAAAAAACUUUUUUUUCCAAAAAAAUCCAUAGCCCCCCCCCCAGAAAUCGAAUGGUUGCUGCCUUAGUAUGUAAGUUAACUAUGAAAAGAAAUUAAAAUAAAGUGUUUUUGUUGUGAAAAUGUUUGUUAAAAUUAUUCUAUUUUAUUUAGAAUAAAAUAAAAGAUUUUCACAGAGAAAAAGCUCAAAAUGAAAGAGUUUUAUUAAAAAAAAUACAUUAAAUAUUAUCAACC
rnacentral:lncRNA from 1 species